CAGCAGCCGCGGUAAUACGUAGGUGGCAAGCGUUGUCCGGAUUUACUGGGCGUAAAGAGCGUGUAGGCGGUCCGGUAAGUCGGCUGUGAAAGUCCAGGGCUCAACCCUGGGAUGCCGGUCGAUACUGCCGGACUAGAGUUCGGAAGAGGCGAGUGGAAUUCCCGGUGUAGCGGUGAAAUGCGCAGAUAUCGGGAGGAACACCUAUGGCGAAGGCAGCUCGCUGGGACAAGAUUGACGCUCAUGCACGAAAGCGUGGGGAGCAAACAGGAUUGGAUACCCUGGUAGUCCACGCCCUAAACGAUGUCUACUAGUUGUCGGGUUUUAAUUAACUUGGUAACGCAGCUAACGCGUGAAGUAGACCGCCUGGGGAGUACGGUCGCAAGAUUAAAACUCAAAGGAAUUGACGG
rnacentral:rRNA from 1 species